UUUCAGUUUGCAAGUCAGAAGGGAGUCAGAGCGGCUGCCUACAUUACAAGCCCAAAAGUCAUGCCCCAGUGGCCUCUGAAAGGGGAGCCCUAGAAGAAGCAAUUUUAAGACAUAAAACCAAAAGUUGUUCCAUGACAACACAGAAGCAUUUUGAUGCUAUUGAAGAUGCAGCUCUCAAAACAAAAGCAGAUCUCCUAAAUUCUCCUGAGUUUUAACAAGUUUGUUGAAGGAGAGAACUAUCAAACAGAGCUUCACGUGAUUCUGACCGUCAUUCUUCAGCAAAGUCAAGCCAAAUGAUUUCUGAAGAACUUCCGAUGAAAAUGACACUGCCUUCUUUGGGGAAGCACUUAUGGAAACAAUUCAGAAAGUGGGAGGAGUACUCAAGUAGAAAUCAAGGAUUUAAGAUGUUAGUCAUCAAUCUCUAAGUGGGAAACCCUCUUUUAGUGACCAUCUAAAAUAGUGUUUUUAAACUCACUGUCUGCAAAAUGGGUCGUAAACUUUUCUGGUAGUCUUUUUGCAAUACCAUUCAUUAUCCAAAGUAUUACUGUGAUGCACUUUUUUUGGAUAUUUUGACUGUGGGGCACAUUGAAGGGCAUUCUCAUGCCAGUAUAUCCUAAAAAACAUAGGUGAAAUAUAAUGGGAUGUGAUUGGUGAAAACAUGUAAUUUAACAUUAAAGAA